rnacentral:rRNA from 1 species
GAUGAACGCUGGCGGCGUGCCUAAUACAUGCCAGUCGAGCGAACAGACGAGGAGCUUGCUCCUCUGACGUUAGCGGCGGACGGGUGAGUAACACGUGGAUAACCUACCUAUAAGACUGGGAUAACUUCGGGAAACCGGAGCUAAUACCGGAUAACAUGUUGAACCGCAUGGUUCAACAGUGAAAGACGGUCUUGCUGUCACUUAUAGAUGGAUCCGCGCCGCAUUAGCUAGUUGGUAAGGUAACGGCUUACCAAGGCAACGAUGCGUAGCCGACCUGAGAGGGUGAUCGGCCACACUGGAACUGAGACACGGUCCAGACUCCUACGGGAGGCAGCAGUAGGGAAUCUUCCGCGAUGGGCGAAAGCCUGACGGAGCAACGCCGCGUGAGUGAAGAAGGUCUUCGGAUCGUAAAACUCUGUUAUUAGGGAAGAACAAAUGUGUAAGUAACUAUGCACGUCUUGACGGUACCUAAUCAGAAAGCCACGGCUAACUACGUG